rnacentral:rRNA from 1 species
GACGAACGCUGGCGGCGUGCCUAAUACAUGCAAGUCGAGCGGACGAAUCGAAAGCUUGCUUUUGAUUCGUUAGCGGCGGACGGGUGAGUAACACGUGGGCAACCUGCCCUGUAGACGGGGAUAACACCGAGAAAUCGGUGCUAAUACCGGAUAACACGAAAUGUCGCAUGACGUUUCGUUGAAAGACGGCGCAAGCUGUCGCUACAGGAUGGGCCCGCGGCGCAUUAGCUAGUUGGGGAGGUAACGGCUCACCAAGGCGCCGAUGCGUAGCCGACCUGAGAGGGUGAUCGGCCACACUGGGACUGAGACACGGCCCAGACUCCUACGGGAGGCAGCAGUAGGGAAUCUUCCGAAAUGGACGAAAGUCUGACGGAGCAACGCCGCGUGAGCGAAGAAGGCCUUCGGGUCGUAAAGCUCUGUUGUUAGGGAAGAACAAGUAACGCAGUAACUGGCGUUACCGUGACGGUACCUAACGAGAAAGCCACGGCUAACUACGUGCCAGCCGCCGCGGUAA